GACUGACUCAUUUCUACUUUCACCUAAAUAAUCAGGCCUGACUUUUUUUUAAAUUCCACGAAGAAGAAAUCCUCUUUACAAUCCACUGUCCUUCCAGUCUCCUCUGAGAGGAGCCCAGCGGUUUAUCCUAGGUUGGGUUUGACACUUCAGGUCUGCUAUCAUUAAAAACUCAAAAUGAAAUUCUGAAAAACAAAAUCAUGGAGACUGGAACUAAAGAAAACUUUUAGGAUCAAAACAUUUCCUAAGUGAAAUCUAUAAAUUUAGCGUAGCUCAUAUUUUAUGUCAUGAUCACUUAUCAGUUACUAACUUCCAUCAGGUUUUUAUGGUGAUGAGAAUGUCUUCCAUUGAGGAAGAUUCCACUUGUGUCUAUGAAGAAGUAUUCAAAUCUUUUCCAAUAAUAGCAAACAAAUAUUUUGCCUUUGUUUCAUCUUGCACUCUACGAACAUUAAAGUCCUUACUGACCAUACUAAAAACAUAGCUCUUCUUCCGACCAGCUCGAAGCUAAUGUAGGUGGUACGUUCCUCACAAGUACUUCCUGUAAUGGAAUGAAGUCUCAUCCUAAAAUGUAAAAUGGCAAAUUCUUCGUUAAUUUCAUAAUUGCACCUGAAAGGAGGAGGUAGAUGAAGAUCUCAGUAAAAAUAAGGAAGCAGGAAGAAUGGAGGUUUUCCUGGAAAUAAACCAGAGAAAGAUUAAUAAGGAUAUUUUCAUUUGAUUCUACUUGAUUCUCCUUGAAUCAUUGAUCAUGAUUUCAUUAAUUAGAUAUCUAACUGCUGCAAUACUGAUGAAAGAGUGUAAACAAAUAAUUAUAUCGUGAUCUGGCGUGUGGAAUCAUGUUCAAAACAUCAGUGACUAGUCACUAACAUUAGUGGUUAGUCACUUACCAUGAUAAAUGGGAAAGGCAUUCCAAAAUCAAGGAAUCCUGUCCAGAAACAUCCUUCAGUCCCAGCAGCUGAUGAUCUAGGUGUCUGAUUGAAGAUUCCCCCAAAGAUGGAUUUGGUGGCCCAUAUGAAAAGGAGACAGUCAUGAAGAUGGACAGAGCAUGCUGGCUGGUUCUAUUUUGAACUUCCUAGUUUCUCCUUUAUUUCAUGGGUUAUUAUGAUUCUAUCACAUUUGUGGGACAUUACUGUGGCACUGAAUACUCAAUGCUAGUGUUAAAUUUCCUGGUUUCUUCAUACUUGUGUAAAUGAAUUGAAGUCCUCAGACUUAUUGAAUGGAAGUACACUCAUUGGUCCCUUCAUAAUCUAUGUAGAGCCCUGUCACUCUCCCUGUGACAGUCAAGUACUGUGUGCUACUACUACUUUUCAGUAAGAGAUAGGCAGAGUGAGUAGUUAAAAAUAAUUUAUUUAUUGCAGAAGUCUGAGAAAGAGAGAGGCCUUGGCAUGGGUUAAAGCAACACGCAAACAUUAAUAUUGGCAAGUUAAUCAUAUACAAUCUGGUUUCUCAGUAACUGUGAGAUGUACAGCAAUAGCAAGCAUUUGGGAGAGCAGCUCUUGGAUUUAGCAUGUUGGUUUUGUAGGACCUGGGAGAAUGAAUGCUUGGAAUUGAAAGAUUCCUUCAGGUAGAUGAGAACUGACGAAACUACCAGGACAGCAAUGAAGAUGAGGAAGCAGAAGGGUCCAAGAGCCAUCUGGAGAUAAAAAUAGAGACUGGACUUCCCUGACACACAGAAGACAAAUAGAAAAUAGGACCAGAAGGAGCAGCGCAAGUACCGUAAUCCAAGAACUCUUG